GUGCCAGCCGCCGCGGUAAUACAGAGGCCUCAAGCGUUAGGCGGAAUCACUGGGCUUAAAGCGUGUGUAGGCGGAUGUCUAAGUGCCUUGUGAAAUCCCAUGGCUCAACCAUGGAACGGCUGGGCAUACUGGACGUCUUGAGCCAUCCAGGGGUCGCUGGAACAAACGGUGGAGCGGUGAAAUGCGUAGAUAUCGUUUGGAACGCCAAAGGUGAAGACAGGCGACUGGGGAUGUGCUGACGCUGAGACACGAAAGCCAGGGGAGCAAACGGGAUUAGAUACCCCUGUAGUCC
rnacentral:rRNA from 1 species